rnacentral:rRNA from 1 species
CCUACGGGUGGCUGCAGUGGGGAAUAUUGGACAAUGGGCGAAAGCCUGAUCCAGCCAUGCCGCGUGUGUGAAGAAGGCCUUCGGGUUGUAAAGCACUUUCAGUGGGGAAGAAAGCCUUGGGGCUAAUACCCUCGAGGAAGGACAUCACCCACAGAAGAAGCACCGGCUAACUCCGUGCCAGCAGCCGCGGUAAUACGGAGGGUGCGAGCGUUAAUCGGAAUUACUGGGCGUAAAGCGCGCGUAGGCGGUCUGAUAAGCCGGUUGUGAAAGCCCCGGGCUCAACCUGGGAACGGCAUCCGGAACUGUCAGGCUAGAGUGCAGGAGAGGAAGGUAGAAUUCCCGGUGUAGCGGUGAAAUGCGUAGAGAUCGGGAGGAAUACCAGUGGCGAAGGCGGCCUUCUGGACUGACACUGACGCUGGGGUGCGAAAGCGUGGGUAGCAAACAGGAUUAGAUACCCUAGUAGUC